GUGGUAAUGCCGGAUGCUCCAUCACACCGCAUGGUGUGUUGGGAAAGCCUUUGCGGCAUGGGAUGGGGUCGCGUCCUAUCAGCUUGAUGGCGGGGUAACGGCCCACCAUGGCUUCGACGGGUAGCCGGCCUGAGAGGGCGACCGGCCACAUUGGGACUGAGAUACGGCCCAGACUCCUACGGGAGGCAGCAGUGGGGAAUAUUGCACAAUGGGCGCAAGCCUGAUGCAGCGACGCCGCGUGAGGGAUGGAGGCCUUCGGGUUGUAAACCUCUUUUGUUAGGGAGCAAGGCAUUUUGUGUUGAGUGUACCUUUCGAAUAAGCACCGGCUAACUACGUGCCAGCAGCCGCGGUAAUACGUAGGGUGCAAGCGUUAUCCGGAAUUAUUGGGCGUAAAGGGCUCGUAGGCGGUUCGUCGCGUCCGGUGUGAAAGUCCAUCGCUUAACGGUGGAUCCGCGCCGGGUACGGGCGGGCUUGAGUGCGGUAGGGGAGACUGGAAUUCCCGGUGUAACGGUGGAAUGUGUAGAUAUCGGAAAAGAACACCA
rnacentral:rRNA from 1 species